rnacentral:rRNA from 1 species
UACGUAGGGCGCAAGCGUUUGUCCGGAAUUAUUGGGCGUAAAGAGCUCGUAGGCGGUUUGUCGCGUCUGCCGUGAAAGUCCGGGGCUCAACUCCGGAUCUGCGGUGGGUACGGGCAGACUAGAGUGAUGUAGGGGAGACUGGAAUUCCUGGUGUAGCGGUGAAAUGCGCAGAUAUCAGGAGGAACACCGAUGGCGAGGGCAGGUCUCUGGGCAUUAACUGACGCUGAGGAGCGAAAGCAUGGGGAGCGAACAGG